GUCUUACAAUAUUUGCACACCCCAAAAAAUUUUUAUAUUUUAAGUGUCUGAUUUAAACCUGGUACUAUCUUUGUUUCAGGAUUAUAAUUUUAAAUUUUUUCCUCUCGGGAUCGUAACGAGAGAAAGAACUCUUUCAUAUUUAUCUCACGUCAUAAAUUAACCUUCACAUUUAUGAUGCAUAUAUCACAUAUAAACAUUCUAAGAUUAUACCAGAUAUAAAUAUAAUAUAAAUAUAUUUCUAAAUAAUAUUUAAUAUUAAAUAUUAAACACUACUAAUUCUUUCUAAGCUAUAUACUUCAAUACCAUUAACUAUUUCCGUAUACAUAUGACAAAUAUAUCAUAUAUGUUUCACAAAUAUACCAUAUAUAUAAAUAUAAUAUAAAUAUAUUUCUAAAUAUUAUUUAAUAUUUAUCAAAUUUUAUUUAUUUUUUUC
rnacentral:lncRNA from 1 species